GUGGUUGGAGUGCUGACCUGUGAAUUAAAGAGUCCCUGGCUUAAUUCCCAGUCAGGGCACAUGCUUGGGUUGCAGUCCAGGUUCCCUGUAGAGGGUGCGUGAGAGGCAAUCACACAUUGAUGUUUCUCUCCCUCUCUUUCUCCCUCCCUUCCCCUCU